GGAAUGGCCCCAGACUUUGCGGGCGGCCUCCGUGUGCCAAAAAUAGGCCACGGGCACAGCCGCGCCCAAAAAUGAGCUCCCGAAGGUCGGGGCGCCAACACCCCCCAGCGGAAAAUUGGCCGAAAAACGGGUGGCCUAUAGCCUUGGUGGGGGGCGUGGGCGAAGUUCGUCCGCCGGACUCGGAAUGGCCCCAGACUUUGCGGGCGGCCUCCGUGUGCCAAAAAUAGGCCACGGGCACAGCCGCGCCCAAAAAUGAGCGCCCGAAGGUCGGGGCGCCAGCACCCCCGAGCGGAAAAAUGGCCAAGAAACGGGUGUGCUAUAGCCUUGGCGGGGGGCGUGGGCGAAGUUCGUCCGCCGGACUCGGAAUGGCCCCAGACUUUGCGGGCGGCCUCCGUGUGCCAAAAAUAGGCCACGGGCACAGCCGCGCCCAAAAAUGAGCGCCCUAAGGUCGGGGCGCCAACACCCCCCAGCGGAAAAUUGGCCGAAAUACGGGUGGCCUAUAGCCUUGGCGGGGGGCGUGGGCGAAGUUCGUCCGCCGGACUCGGAAAGGCCCCAGACUUUGCGGGCGGCCUCCGUGUGCCAAAAAUAGGCCACGAGCACAGCCGCGCCCAAAAAUGAGCGCCCGAAG
rnacentral:lncRNA from 1 species